AUCCAGGUGAGGAGUCCCAAAUAGGACGAAACGCACAUCAUGUAU
rfam:Schistosoma mattheei strain Denwood, Zambia genome assembly, scaffold: SMTD_scaffold0000109